rnacentral:rRNA from 1 species
AUGAACGCUGGCGGCGUGCCUAAUACAUGCCGGUCGAGCGAACAGACGAGGAGCUUGCUCCUUCGACGUUAGCGGCGGACGGGUGAGUAACACGUAGGUAACCUACCUAUAAGACUGGGAUAACUUCGGGAAACCGGAGCUAAUACCGGAUAAUAUUUCGAACCGCAUGGUUCGAUAGUGAAAGAUGGCUUUGCUAUCACUUAUAGAUGGACCUGCGCCGUAUUAGCUAGUUGGUAAGGUAACGGCUUACCAAGGCAACGAUACGUAGCCGACCUGAGAGGGUGAUCGGCCACACUGGAACUGAGACACGGUCCAGACUCCUACGGGAGGCAGCAGUAGGGAAUCUUCCGCAAUGGGCGAAAGCCUGACGGAGCAACGCCGCGUGAGUGAUGAAGGUCUUCGGAUCGUAAAACUCUGUUAUUAGGGAAGAACAAACGUGUAAGUAACUGUGCACGUCUUGACGGUACCUAAUCAGAAAGCCACGGCUAACUACGUG